rnacentral:misc_RNA from 1 species
GAGAAACGCCAUCUGAAUGCCGAGAUUCAUGAGGGUAGUGAAAGUUUGAUAUGACUGUGUCAAUGGCUUCCAAACUACAACUUCAUCAAAACGUUGAGGUGAAGAGUAGUGAAACUGGAUUUCUGGGUUCAUGGCACUUAGCUACUAUCGUUGGUUUUAAUGAUUUUGUUCCACAAGUUCAAUACCAUCACCUUCUCUCUGAUGACAAGGAAGAAGAAGCUUCUAUCAACUUGAUUGAAUCGGUUAACCUUUCUCCAAUUAGGCCUUUCCCACCUCCACUUCAAUUUCACACAUCCCUUCUAUCUUAUGGACAAUGUGUUGAUUUGUUUUAUCAAGAUGCUUGGUGGGAAGGAGUUAUAUUUGACCAUCAAAAUGGUGCCCUAAACCGAAGAAUUUUCUUUCCAGAUAUGGGUGAUGAAAUCAAUGCUCAACUCCACAAUCUACGUAUAACUCAAGAUUGGGAUCAGGUUUCACAACAAUGGAAUCCUCGUGGUACCUGGAUGUUUCUUCAAAUUAUUCACGAGAUUGAGAAUCUCCAUCCCCUUUUCGUCUCACUCAAACAAAUUUGGUAUCAAAUCCGGGAGAAGAAUGCCUACAAAUACCUCAAGGAAUGGACAUCUACUUCGGCUGAUAUCUGGAGGAACUUGAUUAACCAAGUUGUGCAUGAAAACGCUAUCUUAACCGUCAAGCAUUUCUUUUGUGAGUCCAACACUUCACCAGGCUUUCUAGAGGGAGGCCCAUUGCUAGAAUUUUCACAACCCAC